rnacentral:rRNA from 1 species
CGGAACGUGCCCUGUAGUGGGGGAUAACUAGUCGAAAGACUAGCUAAUACCGCAUACGACCUGAGGGUGAAAGUGGGGGACCGCAAGGCCUCAUGCUAUAGGAGCGGCCGAUGUCUGAUUAGCUAGUUGGUGGGGUAAAGGCCCACCAAGGCGACGAUCAGUAGCUGGUCUGAGAGGACGAUCAGCCACACUGGGACUGAGACACGGCCCAGACUCCUACGGGAGGCAGCAGUGGGACCCCA